rnacentral:misc_RNA from 1 species
AAGUCGUAACAAGGUCUCCGUUGGUGAACCAGCGGAGGGAUCAUUACCGAGUUUACAACUCCCAAACCCCUGUGAACAUACCUAUCGUUGCCUCGGCGGUGCCCGCUCCAGCGGCCCGCCAGAGGACCCCAAACUCUUGUUUUAUACAGUAUCUUCUGAGUAACACGAUUAAAUAAAUCAAAA